AAAGUUACUUCGGUACAUCGGUGACAGGUGGUGCAUGGUUGUCGUCAGCUCGUGUCGUGAGAUGUUGGGUUAAGUCCCGCAACGAGCGCAACCCCUAUUGUUAGUUGCCAUCAUUCAGUUGGGCACUCUAGCGAGACUGCCGGUAAUAAACCGGAGGAAGGUGGGGAUGACGUCAAAUCAUCAUGCCCCUUAUGACCUGGGCUACACACGUGCUACAAUGGUUGGUACAACGAGUUGCGAGUCGGUGACGGCGAGCUAAUCUCUUAAAGCCAAUCUCAGUUCGGAUUGUAGGCUGCAACUCGCCUACAUGAAGUCGGAAUCGCUAGUAAUCGCGGAUCAGCACGCCGCGGUGAAUACGUUCCCGGGCCUU
rnacentral:rRNA from 1 species